UACGUAGGGUGCAAGCGUUAUCCGGAAUUACUGGGCGUAAAGCGCACGUAGGCGGCUUUGUAAGUUAGAGGUGAAAGCCCGGGGCUCAACUCCGGAAUUGCCUUUAAGACUGCAUCGCUAGAAUUGUGGAGAGGUAAGUGGAAUUCCGAGUGUAGAGGUGAAAUUCGUAGAUAUUCGGAAGAACACCAGUGGCGAAGGCGACUUACUGGACACAUAUUGACGCUGAGGUGCGAAAGCGUGGGGAGCAAACAGG
rnacentral:rRNA from 1 species